rnacentral:lncRNA from 1 species
GAUGGCGCCGCCGCUUGCGGCGGUGAUCCGCCUCGGGUUGGCCGUUUUCGACCGAAUUCGGCCAAACUUGCCUUGGCUCCUGCGAUAAAACAACCCUAGGGCCCUCGGUGGGCCAAAAAAUUACGAAAAACCAAGACUUACGGGCGGCGGUGCUCUCGGGUGCAGCAGCUUCUCCAGUGUGAGUUGCGUUUUGAUAUUUUGCUCCGGUCAACCUGUAGAGAAAAGAACGGAGAUCACAGUGGUAUAAAAAUUGCAUCGAACGGAGAUUGGGAAGGGCCUCAUCGGAGGCAAAAAUAGAGGGAAGCCGCGGCGGAGUUUUUCAGCCGAUUGGCCAGUGGUUUGGCUCCGGUUUGGCCAUAGGCAGAUUCAGCAUCGAAAAACGAGCCAGGGGGAGAAAAUUUACCUCGAUUGGCGGUCAGAAAAUUCUCCGGUGCGGCGGCGGGUGGCGGCGGCCGGCUCCUCCGAUGUCUGGUUCUUCUUCUCCGGCGAGGCACUGGCAGCUAGGGUUUUUUGGUCGGGUGUGGGUGGGGUUAUUUAUACCAUUCGCCUUUUAAUCUCAACCGUCCAUCAAGAUUAAAUCUGGACCGUCCGAUCGUGAUUUAUUUGGGAUUAAAUCUGGGUCGUCC